AAGAGUGAAAAAAUGAAAAAAAAACCAGCCACCCGAGACCGAAAACAGCUCCCCGCACCAUGUUUCUCUAGCGACCUAAUCCUCUCGCGACCUCACCUCUCGCGCGUAGAGCUAGCUAGGGUUCCCCACCACCGCCGCCCUCCCUUGUCGUCGCCACCAGACUCCCCGGUCGCCACUGCCGGCCUCCCCAAUCGCCGCUGCCGUCGAUCUCCGCUCCCUUCCCGCCCCACCGUGAGCGAGGAGACCGGCGAGUUCGCGCCUCCCUGCCGGUCGCCACCCGCUGCCCCCAAGGAUCAGGGCCGGCCCCCCCCCCGUUCGUGUCGGUCGCCGCUACAGAUCCUUGCCGCCCGCACCCCUUGACCCCGAGCCCCGCCCCCGUCUGGCAGAGUGGUGUCCUCUUCCCAGCCAAAGUCAGCUGAGUCGAAGCAGCACUUGCGAAUCACAAGUCACCGGCCGUCAGCAUUUUUUGGGAUUUUGUAUGUUCACUGCAUCUCUUUCUGGUAGAUGCUCACGCAGUCUUGCUUGACGAAAUUCAUCAUUUUGAUAAUUUGGCAGUUAAUUGACGAGAUGGUUCUUUUCUUAUCCUUAUAGUAUAUGUUUCUGAUGAAUUUCUUGACUAACUCAUUGGGGACAAUAUGUAGAUAUUCCUUCUUUCCUAAAUACAUAUGCUGAAAGGAAAAUGAUUUUACUCCCUCCAUCCGUGAAAGACUACACGUUUAGGCUUCACUUUUCCCCUAAAAGAUUGUACGUCUGCGUUUUCUGGGAUAAUUUUACAUUUUUCCCCUUGGUCUACACCUCGAGGUAACGCGGUGAUAACAACUCAGUCCAUUAAUUUGGUUCAGGCUGCAAGCGAACCCCCAAUCAUCUUGCAUUUUGCUUGUAUUACUAAUUGCUUUGGCCCACAGAAUAAAUGUGGUGGUGUGAAUCCAAGAGUUCUCCUAGCUAGUGGAGUAGCGUAGAUAGGGAAAUAGGUGUUUCUUUGCAAAAUGGUUAAUCUGUCUUAGAAAAUACAGAAGUGCAGUCUUUUGCGGAAGGAGGGAGUAUAUGAGAUAUUGACAGUAGAGAUAUUAAAUACGUAGAAUAAACAUCAGAUGGACCAUACAUAUUUCUUGUAGAGAUUGCCUUCUGGCACAUCGCCAAUGAAUAGCAACGACCAAUCUGAUGGAAUUCAAAACAUGACCUGAAAUAGACAAAAAAAACCAGUCUGAUUAAAUUUUCUUUAGGUUAGAUGUUGAAUUGCGAGAUGAUGUUGUUGAUGUUGUUUAUUAGAUUGUUGUGUGAGUGCUUAUGUUGGUUGUGCCGGUGCUUUUUAUGUGGAGGGAUCUUCUCUUCAUUUUGAGGAGCACCGUCGGUCCAGUUGUCGUUGCCCUCGUCAUUCAACUACUACCUCUACUGUCUAGGGUCUCGUAACCUAGGCAUCUCCCGUUCGAAGGGGCGGAUUGUGGUGUACUGGUGUUCUAAAGAGUAUAUGUUGAAACACAUAGAUUACAAAAAUCGGCGGAAGGCAAUGAAUUAUCCACCACACCAUCAAGGAAACUUGAGCCUUAAGGGAUUCACGAUACAUUGGGCGGCUCACCAGAAGGCUCUGGAGCCCAACCUUUUAUUUAGCCAGACCGCCUACAAUCGGCUAACCUAAGUUAGAGACGUGGCAACAAAGUUGAGAGGACCCGACUAUGAUGUGGCAUCGGAGCCCCUUGACCACGAGUUGGUUAUGAUCGCUGGAGAGGGGAAGAAACAUGGAAAGGAAGCUAUUGCAGGAGACAUGUUUCCUAGGUCCUCCACUCGCACUCUAGCUGAGCACAAGGCUCGGCUAGGUCUCCCAAAAUCUUUUGUAUGUGAACGUGCCACUCCGUGCCUACUCGUGGAGAAGUUCAUAGUGGAGAGGCGACUGGCGGCUGCGGAGAGGGCGGCGGAGAGGGCAGAGGAGAGGCGACUGGCGACUGAGGACUGGGCGGCAGAGAGGACGGAGGAGAGGCGACUGGCUGAUGAGAGGACGCAGCAGGUGUUGUGGGCACAAAAUACUCAAAACUUUCAAAUGUUUAUGGUUAUUUCCUUAAUAUCCUAGCACAAUUCCUUAAUAGCCAACGCAUGUACUCUUUUACUAUCGGUGCUUAACCUUCACCACUCUUAACAUAAUUUGCAGGCUUAUUGUAUCCAGAAUGGUAUGCCUGCUUUCGGUUUUUCUGUCCUUACUCCGCAUCCUAUAGUUAGUUAACUGAAUUAUUUGCAAGGAUCAUUAUUGCAUUUCUUA